AACGAACGCUGGCGGCAUGCCUAACACAUGCAAGUCGAACGAGACCUUCGGGUCUAGUGGCGCACGGGUGCGUAACGCGUGGGAACCUGCCCUUAGGUUCGGAAUAACUCCCCGAAAGGGGUGCUAAUACCGGAUAAUGUCUUCGGACCAAAGAUUUAUCGCCUUUGGAUGGGCCCGCGUUGGAUUAGCUAGUUGGUAGGGUAAAAGCCUACCAAGGCGACGAUCCAUAGCUGGUCUGAGAGGAUGAUCAGCCACACUGGGACUGGGACACGGCCCAGACUCCUACGGGAGGCAGCAGUGGGGGAUAUUGGACAAUGGGCGAAAGGCUGAUCCAGCAAGGGCGCGUGAGUGAUGAAGGCCUUAGGGUUGUAAAGCUCUUUUACCCGGGAUGAUAAUGACAGUACCGGGAGAAUAAGCUCCGGCUAACUCCGUG
rnacentral:rRNA from 1 species